GACCGCGUAGCUCAGUUGGCAGAGCAUUGGGCUGGUAUUCCAAAGGUCGUAGGUUCGAUUCCCACCGUGGCA